GACGAACGCUGGCGGCGUGCUUAACACAUGCAAGUCGAACGGAAAGGCCCUGCACUUGUGGGGUGCUCGAGUGGCGAAAGGGUGAGUAACACGUGAGUAACCUGCCCUUGACUUUGGGAUACCUUCAGGAAGCUGGGGCUAAUACCGGAUAGGAGCUCCUUCUGCAUGGUGGGGGUUGGAAAGUUACGGCGGUUGGGGAUGUACUCGCGGCUUAUCAGCUUGUUGGUGGGGUAGUGGCUUACCAAGGCUUUGACGGGUAGCCGGCCUGAGAGGGUGACCGGCCACAUAGGGACUGAGAUACGGCCCAGACUCCUACGGGAGGCAGCAGUGAGGAAUAGUGCACAAUGGGCGGAAGCCUUAUGCAGCAACGCCGCGUGCUGGAUGACGGCCGUCGGGUUGUAAACCUCGUUCGCCUGUGACGAAGCGUGAGUGACGGUAAUGGGUAAAGAAGCACCGGCUAACUACGUG
rnacentral:rRNA from 1 species